UUAUGGCCAUAUCACAUUGAAACACCAAAUCUCAUAUGAUCAACAAGUUAAACUAUGUUGAGCCUGAUCAGUACCUAGAUGGGUGACUGCUUGGAAAUACCAGUUGCUGUAAG